GUUUCGUUCACAUUUGAAGAAUUAAUAAAUGGCAAUAAGAAAAAAUAUGAUGAACUAUUUCCGACUCCACCCGAAAGUAGUAUCGCUUUUUCCCCUUCUAUAUUUUUCAAU
rnacentral:sRNA from 11 species